AAGGCCAGGCUGAAGACUUUGCCGGAUUAGCUGAGAGGUGGUGCAUGGCCGUCGUCAGUUCGUACUGUGAAGCAUCCUGUUAAGUCAGGCAACGAGCGAGACCCGUGCCCACUGUUGCCAGCAUGUCCUUCGGGAUGAUGGGUACUCUGUGGGACCGCCGAUGCUAAAUCGGAGGAAGGUGCGGGCUACGGUAGGUCAGUAUGCCCCGAAUCUCCCGGGCUACACGCGGGCUACAAUGACUGGGACAAUGGGCUCCUACCCCGAAAGGGGAUGGUAAUACUCAUAAACCCAGCCUUAGUUCGGAUCGAGGGCUGUAACCCGCCCUCGUGAAGCUGGAAUCCGUAGUAAUCGCGUUUCAACAUAGCGCGGUGAAUACCGUCCCUGCUCCUU
rnacentral:rRNA from 1 species